rnacentral:rRNA from 1 species
UACGGAGGGUGCAAGCGUUAUCCGGAUUCACUGGGUUUAAAGGGUGCGUAGGCGGGCUAUUAAGUCAGUGGUGAAAGCUCCGAGCUUAACUCGGAAACUGCCAUUGAUACUGACGGUCUUGAGUACAUUUGAGGUGGGCGGAAUGUGUCAUGUAGCGGUGAAAUGCUUAGAUAUGACACAGAACACCGAUUGCGAAGGCAGCUCACUAAACUGUAACUGACGCUGAGGCACGAAAGCGUGGGGAGCAAACAGG